UACGUAGGGGGCUAGCGUUGUCCGGAAUCAUUGGGCGUAAAGCGCGUGUAGGCGGCCCGGUAAGUCCGCUGUGAAAGUCGGGGGCUCAACCCUCGGAUGCCGGUGGAUACUGUCGGGCUAGAGUGCGGGAGAGGCGAGUGGAAUUCCUGGUGUAGCGGUGAAAUGCGCAGAUAUCAGGAAGAACACCCGUGGCGAAGGCGGUUCUCUGGGACGGUACUGACGCUGAGACGCGAAAGCGUGGGGAGCGAACAGG
rnacentral:rRNA from 1 species